rnacentral:rRNA from 1 species
UACGGGGGGGGGCAAGCGUUUGUUCGGAAUUACUGGGCGUAAAGGGCUCGUAGGUGGCCAACUAAGUCAGACGUGAAAUCCCUCGGCUUAACCGGGGAACUGCGUCUGAUACUGGAUGGCUUGAGUUUGGGAGAGGGAUGCGGAAUUCCAGGUGUAGCGGUGAAAUGCGUAGAUAUCUGGAGGAACACCGGUGGCGAAGGCGGCAUCCUGGACCAAUACUGACACUGAGGAGCGAAAGCCAGGGGAGCAAACGGGG